rnacentral:rRNA from 1 species
GCCUAACACAUGCAAGUCGAACGGUAACAGGAAACAGCUUGCUGUUUCGCUGACGAGUGGCGGACGGGUGAGUAAUGUCUGGGAAACUGCCUGAUGGAGGGGGAUAACUACUGGAAACGGUAGCUAAUACCGCAUAACGUCGCAAGACCAAAGAGGGGGACCUUCGGGCCUCUUGCCAUCGGAUGUGCCCAGAUGGGAUUAGCUAGUAGGUGGGGUAACGGCUCACCUAGGCGACGAUCCCUAGCUGGUCUGAGAGGAUGACCAGCCACACUGGAACUGAGACACGGUCCAGACUCCUACGGGAGGCAGCAGUGGGGAAUAUUGCACAAUGGGCGCAAGCCUGAUGCAGCCAUGCCGCGUGUAUGAAGAAGGCCUUCGGGUUGUAAAGUACUUUCAGCGGGGAGGAAGGGAGUAAAGUUAAUACCUUUGCUCAUUGACGUUACCCGCAGAAGAAGCACCGGCUAACUCCGUGCCAGCAGCCGCGGUAAUACGGAGGGUGCAAGCGUUAAUCGGAAUUACUGGGCGUAAAGCGCACGCAGGCGGUUUGUUAAGUCAGAUGUGAAAUCCCCGGGCUCAACCUGGGAACUGCAUCUGAUACUGGCAAGCUUGAGUCUCGUAGAGGGGGGUAGAAUUCCAGGUGUAGCGGUGAAAUGCGUAGAGAUCUGGAGGAAUACCGGUGGCGAAGGCGGCCCCCUGGACGAAGACUGACGCUCAGGUGCGAAAGCGUGGGGGAGCAAACAGGAUUAGAUACCCCUGGUAGUCCACGCCGUAAACGAUGUCGACUUGGAGGAUGUGCCCUUGAGGCGUGGCUUCCGGAGCUAACGCGUUAAGUCGACCGCCUGGGGAGUACGGCCGCAAGGUUAAAACUCAAAUGAAUUGACGGGGGCCCGCACAGGCGGUGGAGCAUGUGGUUUAAUUCGAUGCAACGCGAAGAACCUUACCUGGUCUUGACAUCCACGGAAGUUUUCAGAGAUGAGAAUGUGCCUUCGGGAACCGUGAGACAGGUGCUGCAUGGCUGUCGUCAGCUCGUGUUGUGAAAUGUUGGGUUAAGUCCCGCAACGAGCGCAACCCUUAUCCUUUGUUGCCAGCGGUCCGGCCGGGAACUCAAAGGAGACUGCCAGUGAUAAACUGGAGGAAGGUGGGGAUGACGUCAAGUCAUCAUGGCCCUUACGACCAGGGCUACACACGUGCUACAAUGGCGCAUACAAAGAGAAGCGACCUCGCGAGAGCAAGCGGACCUCAUAAAGUGCGUCGUAGUCCGGAUUGGAGUCUGCAACUCGACUCCAUGAAGUCGGAAUCGCUAGUAAUCGUGGAUCAGAAUGCCACGGUGAAUACGUUCCCGGGCCUUGUACACACCGCCCGUCACACCAUGGGAGUGGGUUGCAAAAGAAGUAGGUAGCUUAACCUUAGGGGGGGCGCUUACCACUUUGUGAUUCAUGACUGGGGC